rnacentral:rRNA from 1 species
AGGGUUUGAUCUGGCUCAGAACGAACGCUGGCGGCAGGCCUAACACAUGCAAGUCGAGCGAGACCUUCGGGUCUAGCGGCGGACGGGUUAGUAACGCGUGGGAACGUACCCUUUUCUACGGAAUAGCCUUUGGAAACGAAGAGUAAUACCGUAUACGCCCUUCGGGGGAAAGAUUUAUCGGAGAAGGAUCGGCCCGCGUUAGAUUAGAUAGUUGGUGGGGUAAUGGCCUACCAAGUCUACGAUCUAUAGCUGGUUUUAGAGGAUGAUCAGCAACACUGGGACUGAGACACGGCCCAGACUCCUACGGGAGGCAGCAGUGGGGAAUCUUAGACAAUGGGCGCAAGCCUGAUCUAGCCAUGCCGCGUGAGUGAAGAAGGCCUUAGGGUCGUAAAGCUCUUUCGCCAGGGAUGAUAAUGACAGUACCUGGUAAAGAAACCCCGGCUAACUCCGUGCCAGCAGCCGCGGUAAUACGGAGGGGGUUAGCGUUGUUCGGAAUUACUGGGCGUAAAGCGCCACGUUAGGGCGGAUUAGAAAAGUUAGAGGUGAAAUUCCCCAGGGGCUUCAACCCUGGGAACUGCCUUUUAAAACUCCUAGUUCUUGAGUUCGAGAGAGGGUGAGUGGAAUUCCAAGUGUAGAGGUGAAAUUCGUAGAUAUUUGGAGGAACACCAGUGGCGAAGGCGGCUCACUGGCUCGAUACUGACGCUGAGGUGCGAAAGUGUGGGGAGCAAACAGGAUUAGAUACCCUGGUAGUCCACACCGUAAACGAUGAAUGCCAGUCGUCGGGUAGUAUACUAUUCGGUGACACACCUAAACGGAUUAAGCAUUCCGCCUGGGGGAGUACGGUCGCAAGAUUAAAACUCAAAGGAAUUGACGGGGGCCCCGCACAAGCGGUGGAAGCAUGUGGUUUUAAUUCGAAGCAACGCGCAGAACCUUACCAACCCUUGACAUACUUCGUCGUUCSCUCCAGAGAUGGAGCUUUUCAGCUAGGCUGGACGAGAUACAGGUGGCUGCAUGGCUGUCCGUCAGCUCGUGUCGUGAGAUGUUUCGGUUAAGUCCGGCAACGAGCGCAACCCACAUCCCUAGUUGCCAGCAGGUUAAGCUGGGCACUCUAUGGAAACUGCCCGUGAUAAGCGGGAGGAAGGUGUGGAUGACGUCAAGUCCUCAUGGCCCUUACGGGUUGGGCUACACACGUGCUACAAUGGCAGUGACAAUGGGUUAAUCCCAAAAAACUGUCUCAGUUCGGAUUGGGGUCUGCAACUCGACCCCAUGAAGUCGGAAUCGCUAGUAAUCGCGUAACAGCAUGACGCGGUGAAUACGUUCCCGGGCCUUGUACACACCGCCCGUCACACCAUGGGAGUUGGUUCUACCCGACGACGCUGCGCUAACCCUUCGGGGAGGCAAGCGGCCACGGUAGGAUCAGCGACUGGGGUCAAAAAGGGGCAAGGUA